rnacentral:ncRNA from 1 species
AGUAACCGACAGCGCGUCAAGUGCCAUUGAACGGGACGUUGUCAAUGGACGAAAGGGAAAGGCAAGUCUUCCCUGCGGUGCCGCCGGUGCGUCCG